GACGAACGCUGGCGGCGUGCUUAACACAUGCAAGUCGAACGGAAAGGCCCUGCUUUUGUGGGGUGCUCGAGUGGCGAACGGGUGAGUAACACGUGAGUAACCUGCCCUUGACUUUGGGAUAACUUCAGGAAACUGGGGCUAAUACCGGAUAGGAGCUCCUGCUGCAUGGUGGGGGUUGGAAAGUUUCGGCGGUUGGGGAUGGACUCGCGGCUUAUCAGCUUGUUGGUGGGGUAGUGGCUUACCAAGGCUUUGACGGGUAGCCGGCCUGAGAGGGUGACCGGCCACAUUGGGACUGAGAUACGGCCCAGACUCCUACGGGAGGCAGCAGUGGGGAAUAUUGCACAAUGGGCGGAAGCCUGAUGCAGCAACGCCGCGUGCGGGAUGACGGCCUUCGGGUUGUAAACCGCUUUCGCCUGUGACGAAGCGUGUGUGACGGUAAUGGGUAAAGAAGCACCGGCUAACUACGUGCCAGCAGCCGCGGUGAUACGUAGGGUGCGAGCGUUGUCCGGAUUUAUUGGGCGUAAAGGGCUCGUAGGUGGUUGAUCGCGUCGGAAGUGUAAUCUUGGGGCUUAACCCUGAGCGUGCUUUCGAUACGGGUUGACUUGAGGAAGGUAGGGGAGAAUGGAAUUCCUGGUGGAGCGGUGGAAUGCGCAGAUAUCAGGAGGAACACCAGUGGCGAAGGCGGUUCUCUGGGCCUUUCCUGACGCUGAGGAGCGAAAGCGUGGGGAGCGAACAGGCUUAGAUACCCUGGUAGUCCACGCUGUAAACGGUGGGUACUAGGUGUGGGGUCCAUUCCACGGGUUCCGUGCCGUAGCUAACGCUUUAAGUACCCCGCCUGGGGAGUACGGCCGCAAGGCUAAAACUCAAAGGAAUUGACGGGGCCCCGCACAAGCGGCGGAGCAUGCGGAUUAAUUCGAUGCAACGCGUAGAACCUUACCUGGGUUUGACAUGGAUCGGGAGUGCUCAGAGAUGGGUGUGCCUCUUUUGGGGUCGGUUCACAGGUGGUGCAUGCCUGUCGUCAGCUCGUGUCGUGAGAUGUUGGGUUAAGUCCCGCAACGAGCGCAACCCUUGUUCACUGUUGCCAGCACGUUAUGGUGGGGACUCAGUGGAGACCGCCGGGGUCAACUCGGAGGAAGGUGGGGAUGACGUCAAGUCAUCAUGCCCCUUAUGUCCAGGGCUUCACGCAUGCUACAAUGGCUGGUACAGAGAGUGGCGAGCCUGUGAGGGUGAGCGAAUCUCGGAAAGCCGGUCUCAGUUCGGAUUGGGGUCUGCAACUCGACCUCAUGAAGUCGGAGUCGCUAGUAAUCGCAGAUCAGCAACGCUGCGGUGAAUACGUUCCCGGGGCU
rnacentral:rRNA from 1 species